rnacentral:rRNA from 1 species
AGUGAACGCUGGCGGUAGGCCUAACACAUGCAAGUCGAACGGCAGCACAGUAAGAGCUUGCUCUUACGGGCGUCGCGUGGCGGACGGGUGCGGAAUACAUCGGAAUCUACUUUUUCGUGGGGGAUAAUGCCGGGAAACUUCCGCUAAUAAAGCAUACGACCUACGGGUGAAAGCAGGCGUUCUUCGGACUUUGCGCGAUUGAAUGAGCCUAUGUCGGAUUAGCUAGUUGGCGGGGUAAAGGCACACCAAGGCGACGAUCCGAAGCUGGUCUGAGAGGGUGAUCAGACACACUGGAACUGAGACUCGGUCCAGACACCGACGGGGGGCAACAGUGGGGAAUAUUGGACGAUGGACGCGUGCCUGAUCUUGUCAUACCGCGUAAGGGAAGAACGACUACUGGUGGGUGAGCGAUUAUGGUGUGAGAGAAAAACAGCAGUUUUAUACCCCACUGUACUGACAGUACCCAAAGAAUAAGCACCGGCUAACUUCGUG